rnacentral:rRNA from 1 species
AUUGAACGCUGGCGGCAGGCCUAACACAUGCAAGUCGAGCGGAUGACGGGAGCUUGCUUCUUGAUUCAGCGGCGGACGGGUGAGUAAUGCCUAGGAAUCUGCCUGGUAGUGGGGGACAACGUUUCGAAAGGAACGCUAAUACCGCAUACGUCCUACGGGAGAAAGCAGGGGACCUUCGGGCCUUGCGCUAUCAGAUGAGCCUAGGUCGGAUUAGCUAGUUGGUGAGGUAAUGGCUUACCAAGGCGACGAUCCGUAACUGGUCUGAGAGGAUGAUCAGUCACACUGGAACUGAGACACGGUCCAGACUCCUACGGGAGGCAGCAGUGGGGAAUAUUGGACAAUGGGCGAAAGCCUGAUCCAGCCAUGCCGCGUGUGUGAAGAAGGUCUUCGGAUUGUAAAGCACUUUAAGUUGGGAGGAAGGGCAGUAAGUUAAUACCUUGCUGUUUUGACGUUACCGACAGAAUAAGCACCGGCUAACUCUGUGCCAGCCGCCGCCGUAA